ACCCAGUGAGCGGCUAGGUUGCAGCAGGAGUUUGGGGGAUGGCCCCAGUCUCGGGAUCCCUGUCUUGGGCUGGGGACUGCCCCCCUCCCCUGGCCUGGCUCCUGACGCCCGUGCUGCCGGUGAAACGCUGUUGACAUGUCCUGAAUUAUUAAGCACGGGGUGGGCUCCGGAGCACAUGCUGAGCGGAGCGGCUGGGGCUGCGCGGCGUGGCGGAGCAGCGCUCGCUCCCUCGCUCGCUCGCUCGCAGGGACACACGCAGGGGCUGACAGCUGUGCUGGUGCUGAUAAGGGAAGCCACAAGGAGACGAUCGAGGAGAGAGACAAGCGGCAGCAGAGGCAGCAGCGGCAGAGGCAGCACCACGGCUGCGGAGCUGCUGGGAGUGGGAGUGACUCCCCCACCUCGGGCCCCCACUCCGUCCCUGUCCUCCUCCCGCUUGUCCUGAGUUUAGAAGAGCAGCCGCUGCCACCACCGCCACUCGAGAGGGCACUAGGGCUGCUGGCUAGGGAGGGACAGGGCAGGGAGGCUCUGGCCAGUCCCAGCAGCCGGGGACAGAUGCCGAUCGAGAUUGUGUGCAAAAUCAAAUUUGCUGAGGAGGAUGCGAAACCCAAGGAGAAGGAGGCAGGGGAUGAGCAGAGCCUCCUCGGGGCUGCUCCAGGGGCAGCAGCCCCCCGGGACCUGGCCACCUUUGCCAGCACCAGCACCCUACAUGGACUGGGCCGGGCCUGUGGCCCAGGCCCCCACGGACUGCGCAGAACCCUGUGGGCACUGGCCCUACUCACCUCGCUGGCUGCCUUCCUGUACCAGGCGGCUGGCCUGGCCCGGGGCUACCUGACCUGGCCUCACCUGGUGGCAAUGGACCCCGCUGCCCCAGCCCCAGUAGCGGGCUUCCCGGCUGUCACCCUCUGCAAUAUCAACCGCUUCCGGCAUUCGGCACUCAGCGAUGCCGACAUCUUCCACCUGGCCAAUCUGACAGGGCUGCCCCCCAAAGACCGGGAUGGGCACCGUGCCGCUGGCCUGCGCUACCCAGAGCCUGACAUGGUAGACAUCCUCAACCGCACUGGCCACCAGCUCGCCGACAUGCUCAAGAGCUGCAACUUCAGUGGGCAUCACUGCUCCGCCAGCAACUUCUCUGUGGUCUAUACUCGCUAUGGGAAGUGUUACACCUUCAACGCGGACCCGCGGAGCUCGCUGCCCAGCCGGGCAGGGGGCAUGGGCAGUGGCCUGGAGAUCAUGCUGGACAUCCAGCAGGAGGAGUACCUGCCCAUCUGGAGGGAGACAAAUGAGACGUCGUUUGAGGCAGGUAUUCGGGUGCAGAUCCACAGCCAGGAGGAGCCGCCCUACAUCCACCAGCUGGGGUUCGGGGUGUCCCCAGGCUUCCAGACCUUUGUGUCCUGCCAGGAACAGCGGGUGAGCACCUCCUGCCAGGCCCUGGAUGGGGCACAGGGCUUGCCUUUGGGCUGAGAGGGGAUGCGGAGCAAACCUGCCCUCUAGAAGCUCACAGCCUGCCAGCUGUGUUGACUUUGCUGGGGCUGUGGGCACUGGAGGACUGGGUGGGGUUCCUGAGCAUGACCUCAUCAUGCCCCACCUCUGCAGCUGACCUACCUGCCCCAGCCCUGGGGCAACUGCCGUGCAGAGAGUGAGCUCAGGGAGCCUGAGCUUCAGGGCUACUCGGCCUACAGUGUGUCUGCCUGCCGGCUGCGCUGUGAAAAGGAGGCCGUGCUUCAGCGCUGCCACUGCCGGAUGGUGCACAUGCCAGGUGGGCACCCCACCCCCAGCCAGCCCUCCAUGCCACCCUGCUAGGCUCCAGAGCCUCCCGGGGCAAGGCACUGCUCAUGUGCACAGGCAGGUGCAUGUAUACAACAUGUGUGUGUGUCUGUACCUGUGUGAGUGUGAGUAUUUGGGAUUUUUAAGCAUGGUUUCACAUAUGCAUGUGGGAAUGCCGGCAUGCAGAUGCCUGUGUGCAUGUUAAUAUGUAUUUGUGUACGUGCAUGCUCAUUUAUAUCCGUGGUUGCGUAUUUGUGGGGGUUGUGUGUGUGGUGUUCAAGCACAUUUAUGCAGAUGUGUGCAUAUAUGUGUGCAUGCAUGUAUGUGCUUACAUUUGGGCGUGUGGGGGACACGGGAAGUGAUCGUAGAUUCCAGGAAUAAUCUUCUCUCCUUUCAGGCAAUGAGACCAUCUGCCCACCAAAUAUCUACAUCGAGUGUGCCGACCACACACUGGGUCCGUGCUGCCUACCCUUUCCUACCUCUCCAUCAGCCUCUUCAUGUCUCUGUCCACUCUUCUCCUCACUGUCUUGGCUCCUCCCCUCCCAAUCUCUUCCUGGAGGGUUCUUCCUGGGGGUUGAGCCUUAGCCCAUACUUCAGUGGGGUCGGGGAGAGGUCUGCAGACCUCUGCAGGUACAGACACUUGGGUAAGUGGAGGCAGCAGGGUGGGGGGUUGCAGAGAAGCCAGGACUGGGAGUGAAGGUCUGGGCUUCUCAUCUUGGUUCAGCCAAUGAGCUCACCCACUUUGAGAAAGUGAAAUGACUUCUCUCUUGGUCUCAGGAAAAAUGCAUUGCUGGCUAUCGGUGUGGGUAAGGCAAACCCCAUCUGUCCACAGAUCUUGCCUGAUCUGCAGUUCAUCCAUCUAUCCAUCCAUUCAUCGAUUCGCGCAUUCUCCAGCCCUUUACAGCCUGUGCUGGGUACUGGAGGUGAGAGUGGGGGCGACAGCCCUGCCCUUGGAGAGCUUACACCCUGGCAGGGCUGUGGACACACAGCCCGUCAACUCCUGGAGGCGGGAGACUUGGGUGUGCGGCAAGGCCCCAAGGAGGGGUGUGCAGCCCUAGCCUGGGAAGGUAGGGGGGAUUCCUAGAGGAAGGGACACAUUAGCUGAGGCUUGAUGGGUGUAUCAGAGUCAGGUGCAAAGGGGGACAUACACUAAAAACCUGUGGCCAGAAAGAGCAUGCUGUGUCUGGGGCACUGAAAGAUCUGUGUGGCUGCAAGGCAGAGAACAGGGGAGGGAGUAGAAAGAGUGGAGGAGGGAGGCCAGGCACAGUGGCUCACAAGUGUAGACCCAGCACUUUGGGAGGCCAGGGUGUGCGGAUCACUUGAGCCCAGUAGUUCAAGACCAGCCUGGGCAAUAUGGUGAGACCAUGUCUCUGCAAAAAAUAAAAAAGUGAACUGGGUGUGGUGGUGCACAUCUAUAGUCCCACCUAUUCGGGAGGCUGAGGCAAGAGGAUAGGCUUGAGCCUGGGAGGUCGAGGCUGCGGUGAGCUGGGAUCACACCAUUGCACUCUAUCUAGUCUGAGCUAGAGUUAUCCUGUCUCAAAAAAAAAAAAAAAAAAAAAAAAAAAAAAAAA
rnacentral:sRNA from 1 species